CCUGUUUCUUCGCUGGUUCGUUGUGUGUCUGUAUGUCAAGUUUAGUUUACGCUUGUCUCCCCAGUGAGUCUCCAUGUGGCUUUUUUCCCAGGGCCUUUUUGUUGAUUUUGCCUUGGGGAUUUUCAAGUGGAACAUUAUAAGUGAGUUUUUGUUGCUUUUUAUUUAGUUCAUUUUUAAGAAAUCAUUUUUGUUCUGCAUUUGGGCCCUUUCCUUUUUGUUUAACUCCAAACCGUGACAAAAACAUUGUAGAUAUGUUGUAAGUGUUUCAUCAUAAUUGCCUUUUUUAUAUUAAUUAUUUUAAUUUAUGUAUAUCAUUUAUUUUGUGUUUCUUUUGAUCUUAAUCAAUUUUUUGUCGUGUUUUCUUUUUUUCGUCUUCCAGACCUCUUUUGAUGCUCGUGCCAGAUUCCUCAUCCUCACCAGGACAUCCAUAUUUACUUGUUCUGUCUUCCGAGCCUGAUUUCCUGACAACAUAACCCAAGAAUGCACUGCUCUACAACGGCCAACAUUUUAGUGAUGGGAGCCGAAGCUUCCUCUGAGGCACCACAGAGGAAGAGUUCCCGCUCCAAAUACUAUUACAAUACUUACAAGCGGACUGGUCAGUGAUAUAGGAAGUUAGAAGGUGAGAAACUUUUCAACAAGUUUCAACUCUCACCCAGAUGAUCAUAAUACCUGUUAAAAGGUAGAAUUCAUAAAAAACGCUGCCUUUCAGGUGUAUCUUAAUACUUGGGAUGCUUGAGAAAACGGCAAAAGGUUAUAGAAAGCAUUACGUCUUGCCUCUUUUAUUGCAAAUGCCACCUUCUGAAUGUAGAGAUGCAGUUUUUAAACAUUAUUUCUGUUUACAAGAAUUGUAUGCACAGAAAAAAAAGACAUUAUCAGAGGCUGCUCUUGUAGUGAACUGCUGCUUGCUUCAUCUUUAUCGUACCUACCCUGCAGCGGUGGCUAGAAGCAUCAAAAGCAGCCGGAUAGAAAUCAUCUCUCUUGUUUCUUGUGGUCAUUUUUGUAGGUCAUAAAGAGCCGUCAAAUUUGAUUUUUGUGUUUCAUAACCAGCUUAAAACUCCCCAUGGGAGCUUUAACGUUUUAAAGUGGAAAAUAUGAUUUUUAAAAGUACAGCAGCAGAGUUUCCAGUGAUAUGAACUUGAUUUUCUGUCACACAAAAAAAAGAAAAAGGAGAAUUAAUAAAGUAAAACAUCUCAGCAUCAGAUCCAAUCAUUUCCUCAUGUACUGCUGGAGUAGAUUUCUAAGACCACCUGUCUUCUUCUUCUAGUCAAUCCUCUGAAACCCUUUCACCUGAAGUGGACUAAUGGAGGCCAUGUCAUGCACGCUACAGUGGGACCGCUCUUCCCUUCACAAUCCGCCCUGACCCCUGUGCCGGCCCAGCAGAGGUCAGGAUUAGGAGGUCGUCAGGAUUAGGAGUCACAGCUGAAAAACAACCUCUUUCCUAGUCCCUCAGCAACAGGC